rnacentral:rRNA from 1 species
CAGCCGCCGCGGUAAUACGUAGGGUGCGAGCGUUAAUCGGAAUUACUGGGCGUAAAGCGUGCGCAGGCGGUUCGUUAAGACAGAUGUGAAAUCCCCGGGCUUAACCUGGGAACUGCAUUUGUGACUGGCGAGCUAGAGUAUGGCAGAGGGGGGUAGAAUUCCACGUGUAGCAGUGAAAUGCGUAGAGAUGUGGAGGAAUACCGAUGGCGAAGGCAGCCCCCUGGGCCAAUACUGACGCUCAUGCACGAAAGCGUGGGGAGCAAACAGGAUUAGAUACCCGUGUAGUCCCUGUCUCUUAUAA